rnacentral:rRNA from 1 species
AUUGAACGCUGGCGGCAUGCUUUACACAUGCAAGUCGAACGGCAGCACGGGUGCUUGCACCUGGUGGCGAGUGGCGGACGGGUGAGUAAUACAUCGGAACGUAUCCUGAAGUGGGGGAUAACGCAUCGAAAGAUGUGCUAAUACCGCAUAUACUCUGAGGAGGAAAGUAGGGGAUCGAAAGACCUUAUGCUUUUGGAGCGGCCGAUGUCUGAUUAGCUAGUAGGUGAGGUAAAGGCUCACCUAGGCGACGAUCCGUAGCUGGUCUGAGAGGAUGAUCAGCCACACUGGAACUGAGACACGGUCCAGACUCCUACGGGAGGCAGCAGUGGGGAAUAUUGGACAAUGGGCGAAAGCCUGAUCCAGCCAUGCCGCGUGUGUGAAGAAGGCCUUCGGGUUGUAAAGCACUUUAAGCGGGGAGGAAGGGCUUCUGGCUAAUAUCCAGGAGCAUUGACGUUACCCGCAGAAUAAGCACCGGCUAACUCUGUG